AUAUGAAGAAAUGCCAUGAAGCCUCAUGGGGUAAUAAUCUUUGGUGGAGAAAACAACUCCAGGGAAAUGUACAGAAAAACAAGACACAAUAUGGAAUGGAGCUGCUCAUCCUAAAAAGUCACCAGCUGAAGGCAAGUGAGUGAUACUGUGCUGUUAUAUGAAAUAAAGUGCUCUACAUCA